AAGUCGUAACAAGGUUUCCGUAGGUGAACCUGCGGAAGGAUCAUUAAUAGAGCAAUGGAUAGACAGCACCCCGGGAGAAAUCUCGGGGGCUACCCCCCCUCGGGGGGGUUUAGAGUCGUCAGGCCACUCGGAGAAGCCUGGUCCAGACCUCCACCCUUGAAUAAAUUACCUUUGUUGCUUUGGUAGGGCGCCUCGCGCCAGCGGCUUCGGCUGUUGAGUACCUGCCAGAGGACCACAACUCUUGUUUCUAGUGAUGUCUGAGUACUAUAUAAUAGUUAAAACUUUCAACAACGGAUCUCUUGGUUCUG
rnacentral:misc_RNA from 1 species